rnacentral:tRNA from 1 species
CUUUAGUUAACUUAAAGAAAGUGUUAGACUCUUAAUCUAAAAUAUAGUAGUUAAAUUCUACUACUAAAGG